CAUGCAUAUUAUAAAAUUAAAUUUUUCUGUUUAAUUAAAUAAAAUUUAUUUUAAAAUAUUGAUACGAAAAAGAAAAUUUACAAUAUUGAUAAAAUUUUAUUUAAAAUACAAUUUCUAUUUAUCUGUUAAAAAAUAUUUUAAAUUUUUUACUGCACAUGGUGCAGGAAAACACUUAGUAAUAACUUAUUUUGUUAAAUGUAUUUGUUAGAUAUACAUAAAAGUUGUUGUUUUGUAAAUCAUAUCUUGCAUCAAUGAUAGUUUCAUAACUCAGGAAGGAUGAUCUAUUUUUUUACCAAAAAACAAGAAAAAAAAGGAAGGAUGAUCUUUAUUUCGGGCAAGUUCUUUUUUUUGCUGGGCAACAAAGGAAGGAUGAUCUAUUUUCAUAAAUACUCGACUCUAGAGGCUGGUCUUCUACGCAUAGAUUGACGAUUUUAGGCUGGUAGUAAACGUAUUCAUAGAGUAAUAUAAUGCUGCGAUAAAGGUUUAUAUCAAUAAAUAAACAAGUGACAAAAAUCCAGUAAUAUUUGGUGAGACGUGUUGGAACAUUUCUAAUGAGUCUGAAUUUAAGUAUCAAAAUAAAACCUACUGGGAAUGUGAUAAGUCAUUGUUGCAAAUGUUAAAAAAAAACAAAUAUAUUCUCAAUUCUAUUAUCGAUUGUAUUUAAUUAAAUAAGUAUAUUUUCUUUUUAUAUUAAUAGUACAAAAAUAUAAAAGACAUAUAUGUUACAACCUUACUCUUUCCAAUUUUUUUUUUUAAAUUACAUUAAUGCACAUCUUUCAUUUAUAAUGCAUACAUAUAUGAAUGUAGUGGAUGAAUUUUGUUCGAGCAACUACUCAUUAGUAAUGGAUACAAACUUAACUAAGAAUCAAUACAAUACUAAAAGGAGGAUAUAAUCCAUGGGGAGAGUGUCCACGUCCUCAAAAAAAAUCAACCAAUAAGAAACAACAUAUUUGCCACGUCAGAUUUGAUCUUAUGUCACUCUAGAUAAACCAGCCCAUUCGUCACUACCACUUCCCAUUCUCAGUUUGAGCGUAUACGUUCAACAUGUAAACCUCAUAAAGCUCAAAUAUUAAUUACAAAUAUCCUUGAAUCAUCGUCGGUUUCCAUUCCACCACCUCUACACCUUAUAUUGUCGCUUUGAUCGUCCCCAAAUCGCAGCCACCGCUCUCGCCGGAAACUUUCUCACCGCCUUCAACAGCGGGUCAUCCCGAUCUCUUCCGGCCAGUUGAAACCACUCCGACGGCAACCACACACCGACGUUGGGGAGCGCGACCCAUAGAAGCCUUUGUGGACCUCGCCGGAGUUGUGGAUCUCGCCGGGGCAAGCGCUAUCCACCGGCCAAUCUUGACUCGCCGUGUUUCCCUCCAAGCCGAUCUAUACCCGGAGCUGCUUGAUUCGACCUCCGCCGUUUCCGCUCAAAACAGAUCUAAGAAACCACUGCUUCGAUCUUGCUGUCCUCUAGCAAAACCAUGAAGAGGAGAGAACCAGAUCUGUGCUCGCUUCCAUAGCUUCAGCCGUUUCAUACGCAGAUCCGUCGGACUCCACACCACACACGGCCGGAGAAGGAGAGGGGGUUUCGGAGAAGACAAGCCCUCUCACACCGCGGCAGAAGCAUACACGGUGACUGUUGAAGAGAGAGGUUGGAGAAAAAAGUUUUUAGAGAGAGAGUCGACUGCAUAGCUUUCUUCUUCAGUGACGUUGUUCCUGGUUUGGGGCAAUCUGAGCAUCGGUAUUGAUCAAUUCGCUUUGAUUGAUCUCUUCAUAUGAAGCUUUCGGUGAGAACGUAAAACCCAUUGCUGCAGCGUUUUGAUGUCUUUAUCAGAGCUAGGGAUGACAGACGUACGGAUCAUGACUGUAGAGGUUUUCUUUAGUUAUCCGUCUUUUGAUUUGGGGAAUAAUGAUCAUGUAACAAUCAACCUGAGAGAAUGUUCUCCAUCUGAGCCUCACAUGGGAUUUACAGUUGAAGGUUUAGGUCAAAAUAAACACUAAGAGUCUGCCUAAUUCUCAACAGCCAUCAGGCAGGUGAGUAACUUUCACGAUUUGUUUUUGGAAAAGUUUGUGUUUGAUAAUGAAUUAGCAUCCAGAAAAGUCAACGAUGGGCUUGCCUUGAAACAGUUCCACGGGAGGGAAAAGGAUAAGAUGGAAUCCCAUGCAACACUGUUACUAACACUCCCGUAUUUAUAAACAUAAGGAUAUGUUAAGAGAUUUUUAUGCUCUCCACAAACUAAGCUUGACUCUACUCUUCUGAUAGGAACAUGAGAAACUUGAUUAAGCAACUGCAUGCAUAUUCAGGGGAGAGCCAACUGAAAGUUUUAUCACAUCAAGGGAUGACGAAUGACUGAAUGCACAAGUAAAAAGCUCUAAAUCAGCGCCAAAAACUUGGUGAGUGGUUAUCAAAAUUCGGACGUUAAAACUAUAUUUUCCAAGAUUUCUAAAAGACAAGAAAAAAAGACCUUAAAUAUGAGUUAUUUUUGUUUUUCAAAUCAGACAGAAAAUGUGUCUGUCAAGGUGAGAUAAUUGCUUGAAGCAUGAGAAUGUUCUUUGCGUUAAGAUCAUGUAUCAUUCGUCAUGUUUUGUCUUAUUUAUGUGCUAACGUAAAAGAAACUUGAAAUGAAAUAUACAGAACUAGCUUAUUUUGGUAAUAGAAACUGUCUGAAGAUGGUGGCAUUGUAAAGCUAAAGAUGGUAGCAAUGUAAAGCUAAUAUGCUAUUCGUAUACUGGAAACAAAUUUUGCAAUCAAGAAACAAAGGGAAGAUAGACUUUUCUUUUUUAUCAACAAGGGGAAGAUAUACAUAACGGUCAUUAAAAUGGAAAGUAUAUAAAUAUACAAUGAAAUGAAAAUACUAUAGAUAAAAGACAAAAAUGAAAAGUCAGCCGAUAAGAAAUGAUGAUACAAAAUAUAAGAUAAAUAAAGUAUUUAGUUUAUGGCAUGAAAAGACAGUGGUCGAAAAGAGUCUUAAGAAUGGGAUACAUGGUUAAAAAUCAUUAGAAUUUAUUUAGGUAAGCCUUUUAAUACCAUAUAAUUUGAAACAUAUGAAACUUGGCAUAUAUAUGAUUUUCUUUAAGGUUAUUUAUUGCAUCACUAAGCGGCAAGUUUAAUCUUACAUAUCCACAUUUGCUUGGAUGAGUGACGUUAUAAUCUUUGUGAGAUGGCCGUCUGAUUCAUUUUAGCUUUGUUUCACGGUAAAGUUGGUUUAAAAAUGACAGCCAAAAAAUUUAUAGAAUUGGCUGAAUUUAACAUUGUGAAAAUACAAUGAAAUGAUUUUAUAUAAUUUAAUAUAAAAGUAUGCGCAUAAAAUAACGAAAUACAAAAUAAAAGAUAAAUAAUAGUAGGAAUAAAUAAAAUAAUAACAAUACUUUCUAAUACUAUUAUUCAAAAUAAUAUCAAAUAAAUAAGAUCAAUUAACAAACUAUGUUAUGCAAUAGAUCUACUAAUUUUUAGCAAUCAAUUAGUAACUAAAUUAUCAAAUUGUGUAGCAUAUUUCAAAUAUUAUACGAAUCCAUCUAUUCAGCAUAUAAAUUGUAAAAGUAAACAAACGUUACUAAUCUUACAAUAAAAUAAUAUUAAUUAAUUAUAUUAACUAAUUUUUAUCUAUAGAAAUUUAUGUAUACUUCGAUAUUACAUUCACUGCUACAAAUUGUAAGUUAAUUUGAUUAGUCAUAAUACUAUAUCAAAUACUUAAGAUUAUAUAUACUCAUAUUUUAAAAAAAUAAAAUAGUAAUUAAAUACUUAAGAUCAUAUAUACUCAUAAUUCAUUAUACUCAAUUUUUGUAUUUAUUAUCUUUCAAAGAUAUUAAAUAUUAUUUCAAUUUACCAAAAAUCUUACACUAUUAAAAGGAGAAUAUGAAGCUUUCUUAAGCUGUCCACGUCAGCGAAAAAAUUUGUAACCAAUCAUUUAUCCAUGUCAUCGUGGAUGUUAAGUUGUUGGGCCACGAAUCUGUGCUGCGUAAUAGGCUCUUUAACUUUAAUGACUCAUUUGUUUUGUCAUCUUUUUACUCCAACCUAAUUUUGUUACGACGUCUACAGAAGACCUUCCAGAACUCACAGUCUUCCUAUCUCCUCCGUAUAACGCCUGCGACAGCUAUAGUGACGAAUUAAAGCUACUUAACUCCUCCAAAUAAAUCGGCGUUUAACUCUCCACAUCCCUCAUCUUACUCUAUCAUAAUGAUGCCUUCUCAAGCCAAAAAUCCAUUGCUCAGAUCCUCAAAUCCGUUCCUAACUUUAUGGCAAAUCAAACAGCAGUCACCACCACUCAAGCUCCUUCUCCACUUUUCUUCAGUAAGGUUUCACCAGGACCUUGAGAUUCCCAGUUGCUUUUUAAGCAAAUCCAUUUCUGUGAAGCUCGCAAUAAUUUCAAAGAAGGCAUCUUUCUCGGCCUUGAGAUGCUGAUGAUUGAUGAAGAGGUACGUGUCCAUAUUUCAAUAUUAUGCUUCAGAUUUCAUACACGUUUCUGGUUUUUUCUAAUUAACAAGAUUUUAUCCUGAAACUCAACACCUAAGAAUUUUUAAUGUUAAGAGAUAAUUUUUAAGAUUAGUUAAAUAAGUGACCAUCUGUGAAUAUGUUAAUGGUUCUCAAUAUCCUUUUAUGUAGUAACUAAAUACAAAAUUGUUCAUAUUGAAAUUUACUACAUAUUUCAUAUUUUUAUAACAAAUAAUUAUUUACAAAAUAAUAAAUACCAAAAAGUUUAAUAUUGAAAAUAAAUUAUGGCUUCAAAACUUAAAAAUUGUUGAAUCAUUUUAUUGGUUAUCAAAAUUUACAGAUUUAAGUAUUCAAAAUUAUUACACAUUUAUAAAAUUAUAUAUUUAUAUGAAAUAAAUGUUAUUUACCUAUACUUCAAAAAAGAAUUCAAAAUCAAGCAGACGAUAUAUAAGAAAAUAUAUAAUAUACAUAAGAUGAUAAAAUUUUUAUUUUAUUUUAUUAAAUAUAGAGUAUUUUAAAUUUUAAAAGAUUUAAACAUAGUUGCGAAAAGAUUAAUAGAGACAUUUAAUAUGUUAAUAUAAAUUAAUGAUAUUUCAAACAAAAAAUAUAUCGAAACAAAUAAAUGAUAUAAUAUAAAAAAACAAACUUAAUUUUUUUUAAAAAAUCUAAGGUUUAAUGUUUAUAGAACCGCGCGUAGCGCGGUAAAAUCUCUAGUUAUUCAUAAGAAUGGAAUGAAACCAUUAAUAAUGCACUUAUAAUCAUAUUUAUUAUAGUAUGGUUCAAACAACCUUUUAUUUUUGGUUUAUAAAUUGGAUGUAGAUUUGUACAUAUAUUUUCUUAAUGAACAUAAAGAUCGUCUGAUCAUAUCUUGUUCAUGCAAUGUUAUCACUAACAUUACAGAGAUAACAAAUAUCUGAGAUGUAAAUAUAUAAUACUUAAAUAAAUAUAAGAAAUGUCAUAUUUUUUGUUGACCAGCGUAAAUUUUUUUUCUCUUACAAAAUGGAAUACAAUAUUAACAAAUCUUUAAAGUAAUGAAACUAUCGAAUAGAUCGACAUAUGGUUUGGUUCAACUGGCUGAAUUUACUUUGUUAGAUAUACUAUUAGUAUUCCGGCGGUACGCGCCGGGUUUGUAUAUUUUAUUUUAAUGAAUUUUAAAUCGAUUCUAUAGUCUUACUAAAUAGAAUAUUUUUAAAUAUACGAAGAAACAAAUAUGUUGAAAGAGAAUAAUAAUUUAUCCGUUCUGUUUGAUAUUGUUUUCAUCGAUCAAUUCAAUGAAAUCUAAUAUAUAUAUAUAUAUAUAUAUAUUUGCCUUGUGUUCUAUUCUCAGGCGUCCACGUCAGCAAGGAGGAGGGAGCUUUUUUGGACACGUGUUCAGCUCUUUGUUUUAUCGUUUUCGUUUGAUUUUUUACAUUAGAAAUCUUUGUUUGUUACUAACAUUAGUAAAACUAUAAUCUUAACCAAGUUGCAGGAGCAAUUCAUUUCAAAUGUAAUUGCUAUAGUGAUGUUAUUGUAAAUUUGUCAUACUGAUCAAACGUAAAGUAUAGUACAAUUUUUAUAUAUAUCUUUUUUUUUGUUAAAGGGUUUUGUAUAAUGAUAUAUGUUUUAAUAGUUUUAAAUUAUUUUUGGUGUUUUAGUAAAACUUUUUUAUCAAACAUAUAAAGAUAUUUAAAUUUAUUUCAAUUCUUGUAUUAGUUGUCUUUAGAUUUUUUAAAAAAUAAGAAAAAAUUGAAUACAUAUACAAUAUAUUUUUGCCUUUUAUGUAAAUGGAUCUUUUGACCUUUUUAUUAAUCUUUGUUGCUUUUGAUCGAAUUUUUAACACUUGGAUAUUAUGUUCCUAAAUUUUAGAAAGAUAUACAAUGAAUUUCCAAUGCAAUAUAAACAAAUUGAACAUUAUUAAUCACAGGUGAUCUAAAAUACUAUAAUAUCAAUGAAAAAUGCAUUAGAAUCAAGACUAAAAUACAAAAAAUAUUUUAUUUCUUUCAUUUGAUAGAACAUUUUUGAUUGUUUUCCAACAACAUACAUGUAUGAUUUAAUGUACUCCAAUUUCAGCGAGAUAAUAAUUUAGGAGAAGAAACCGAGCCUCUCGAUUGAGGGAGACCGUAACCAAAGUCACGAUCAGUCUAAGGUUGAAAUCUGGAUGAUCUUUUUGCUAGACCCGCUGGUUCGAGUCCAGCUCGUGACAAAAGGCUUUGAUCAGACUAAAAUAUAUAAUCAUAUUAUACUUAUACCAUUUGAUAGAACAUAGUUUCACAAAUACUAUUAUUUAAGCUUCAUAUGCAUAUAUUAAGGGUAUUCAUAUAUGCACCAAGAGUAAAUCUGCUACUCAAACUAAUAGAUUAUUUUAUUUCUGUUAUAUUUCAAAUUUUGGAGGCUGAAAUACAAUUUAUGCAUGAGUAUUGAUAUUUUAUAUGAUUUUAAUUGUUUUUGUUUGAUUUUAGAAUCAUUUUAUUAUAUUUAAAUAUUUACGCUAUGAGGAUUGUUUUAAUUUUCUAUUUUAGAAAUUGUUCAAUGAAAUAACGAUUGAUUUAAAGUAUAACAUCUGAAUUGUUUAUUAUUUGAACAUACAAAAACAAUUAGUUACACUGAAAUGAGAGACAAAUUGGUUCUAAAAUUUGGAUAUUUUUAUAGAACAAUCAUAUAGAUUACCUUUAUAUGUUUGCUAUUUCUGCUCAUACGAACAUAUAUUUGAUGUAAUUUAUCAUAAAUAUGUAUAAUAUGUAUAUUAUGAGUAUGUAUGCAACACUAAUCAGUUAUUGGGCUUGAUUCUUGUUUAGAAGAAAGAUUGUUGGAAAGAGGAAGCAUAAGACGUUCUUUCAUUGAACUCAAAUGUUUAUUAGUUUUCUUAAUUAUGUUUUGUACGUUUAUAUAAAAAAAGAGAGUUAAAGGUAAACUAAAAUUAUCGUUGUAUACUUGUAAUGUGUCAUCAUCCUUUAUCUGAUAAUUGUUUAUAAAUUAAUCCUUUCUUAAUUUGAUCUCUGUUGGUUGGAACUUUGGGGCUUUAGAUUUUAGACCAGGAUAAGAUUUAUUCGCAAAGUUGAAAAUGUUAAGAAAAACAAAGUGUAUCCGACUUUAACUUGUUUAUUAAGUCAGUAUAUAUUAUGCACUACAAAUAAGAAGUUUCAUGUUUCUCAGAUUAGUCAUAGCAAGCCGAUCUCCUUUCUAGAUCAUCCACUUCAGUAGAUUGCAAGAAACAAAGUUUUAGUAUAAAUCACCUAGGGUUAUUUUCUAAGACAUAUUUAGCAAAACUUUUUAAGAAAAGCAAACCUUAAAUGCAACACAAAACACUAAUCUCAUCAAGCACCUAUGAGAUCGAUACAAAGGAAUGAGCUACUUAGAAGAAGCUUGAAGAAAACCAAUGAAAAGUGUGCGAGUAUGAAUCUUGUGAUUGAAAAAGCAAAUAACUACAUGGUUUAGUGAGAUAUUCAGUUUUAUUUUCAUCUUCUCUUCGUCAACUCCAUCAGUAACCUCUGACAUCAUCGCUUUCAAUAAACACUAUAAACAAAACAAACAUGACACAGUCAAUCUUUGUGAUUACCCAUGAUUUCAGAGUAUUAUGGUCCUAGAAAUGAAUGUAGUUUUUGUUUUGCGCGCGUCAUGUCCAGUUGUGCAUAAAGCUUUUGGAAUUCGUUGAUCACUUUUGCUUGAUCCAUAGAUGAGAUUUUCUGAAAAUGUGAGAAACAGAGCAAGGUAUGAGAAUAUCAAUUGUGCUAAGAUUUUCUUUUGCUACACCUUUUAGCUACCAUAUCGUUAAGAUAUAAUUUCCUCGUAGAAGUAAGUUUCCAGAGAUAAGAACACAUAUCAUGUGUAGCCACAACCAUUUCUUGCUUGAAAGUGCGGAAAACAUCUGCUUGAAGAGAAGCAGGAACUGACUCAAUUACAAAGACACGAGACCAUAGUUUCUCCUGACAAUCGAUUUCUGGCAAUAAAGGCAUCCACGACCUUUCAUACAUUGUGGAUAAAGAUCAUAUGCAGUCGUACCUACCCAACAUAGAACAAAGCCCUAAAUCUCUCAGAACGAAGAUUAUGAUUUAGAUUUCCAGAUAAAGAAGAUUUCCAUUCAGGUGUUUGGUUUGAGAGUGGAAAGUACAUGUUCUUCAAGGAGAUAGUACCUGGUGAGGGUGGCUAUGAUAAGUUUAGGCUUCAGGGAGAAUAAUUGAAGUCUCCGAAAUUCCAUAGUAGGUCUAAUAAAUCAGAGGCCGAAGAACAAUACGAACCCUAGAAUUGGAGUUGAGGUUCUUGAAGACGAAGAGUUUGACUAUCGAUUUCAGUUAGUACACUUAGGAAACGUCGUAAGCCCAUCGCAAUUAAAUCUCCGAAGCCCAAAAAAAAAAAUCAAACGAAAACGAUAAAAACAAAGAGCUGGACACAUGUCCAAAAAACUUCCUCCUCCUUGCUGACGUGGACGCCU